UGGGGAAUAUUGGACAAUGGGCGAAAGCCUGAUCCAGCCAUGCCGCGUGUGAAGAAGGUCUUCGGAUUGUAAAGCACUUUAAGUUGGGAGGAAGGGCAGUAAGCGAAUACCUUGCUGUUUUGACGUUACCGACAGAAUAAGCACCGGCUAACUCUGUGCCAGCAGCCGCGGUAAUACAGAGGGUGCAAGCGUUAAUCGGAAUUACUGGGCGUAAAGCGCGCGUAGGUGGUUCGUUAAGUUGAAUGUGAAAGCCCCGGGCUCAACCUGGGAACUGCAUCCAAAACUGGCGAGCUAGAGUAGGGCAGAGGGUGGUGGAAUUUCCUGUGUAGCGGUGAAAUGCGUAGAUAUAGGAAGGAACACCAGUGGCGAAGGCGACCACCUGGGCUCAUACUGACACUGAGGUGCGAAAGCGUGGGGAGCAAACAGG
rnacentral:rRNA from 1 species